rnacentral:lncRNA from 1 species
UAGCUUGGCCAACCAAUGGCCGAGCCUAGUCAGCAUUUUAAACACUUCAUCCUCUCGUCCAAUGAAUGAGCGAGACCCAAAAGAAAAAUGGGGCAUUUUGGGAAAAAAAAUUCAGAAUGGGACAUUGUGGAAAUAAAUUUUCAAAAAAGGGGCAAUGUGGACAGAUACUCCUAAAAUGAAGAAGAAGUUGGAAAAUCAUAUCUAACCUUUCACCUGCAAAGGAAAUCAAUAGGUAUGUUGUCGUGCUUACCUUAUGCUUUUUAUGAACCAACAUGCCUUGUCAUAUUUCAUCUACAAUCCUAACCAUAUGUUUUUUAUGAACUAUAUAUUUCCUUCUUUAUUGUUUUCUCAUUAACAUAAUUUCUUUAACCUGCAACGUCUG